rnacentral:rRNA from 1 species
GUCUCAGGCCGGAUCAGCCUGAAGGCGCCCGAUCUACGUCUGAUCUCGGAAGCUAAGCAGGGUCGGGCCUGGUUAGGAUCUUGGAUGGGAGACCACCUGGGAAUCCCGGGUGCUCGAGGCU